rnacentral:tRNA from 1 species
GUUCCAGUAGCGCAAUGGAUAGUGCGUUGGACUUUUAUUCCGAAGGUCGUGGGUUCGAAUCCCACCUGGAAUG